ensembl:lncRNA
CUAACAUCUAACCAUAGGUCCAGUACACUGUAGACCUAACAUCUAACCAUAGGUUCAGUACACUGUAGACCUAACAUCUAACCAUAGGUCCAGUACACUGUAAACCUAACAUCUAACCAUAGGUUCAGUACACUGUAGACCUAACAUCUAACCAUCCAGUACACUGUAGACCUAACAUCUAACCAUAGGUUCAGUACACUGUAGGCCUAACAUCUAACCAUAGGUUCAGUACACUGUAGACCUAACAUCUAACCAUCCAGUACACUGUAGACCUAACAUCUAACCAUCCAGUACACUGUAGGCCUAACAUCUAACCAUAUGUCCAGUACACUGUAGGCCUAACAUCUAACCAUAGGUUCAGUACAUUGUAGGCCUAACAUCUAACCAUAGGUUCAGUACACUGUAGGCCUAACAUCUAACCAUCCAGUACACUGUAGGCCUAACAUCUAACCAUAGGUUCAGUACACUGUAGGCCUAACAUCUAACCAUCCAGUACACUGUAGGCCUAACAUCUAACCAUAGGUUCAGUACACUGUAGGCCUAACAUCUAACCAUCCAGUACACUCGGUUGUCCCAGGACAUAUUCAAAGGCAAAGAUAUUCUAAGAACUGGAUACAAAGACUGCACUGCAUCAUUCUUCCUGAAUUCACAACACUGUG